GCCGGGUGUGGUGGUGUGCACCUGUAAUCCCAGCUACUCAGGAGACUGAGACAGGAGAAUCGCUUGAACCCGGGAGGCAGAGGUUGCAGUGAGCCAGGAUUGCGCCACUGCACUCCAGCCUGGGUGACAGAGCGAGACUCUGUCUCCA
rnacentral:SRP_RNA from 1 species